AUAUAUGUUAUAGCCUAUGCUCCAUAGCUUUCAUUCCACUUCAUUUACAAACUGAAAAUUGUCGAGCUCCGGUGGAAACAAAAAUUUGUCCCGCAAAGAAAUUAAACAAUUAAAAACUCAACCAUGAGUACCACCACAAAUCAGAUGGAACAGCGGAUCUGUCAGCUUAUUCAGAACCAAAGCCAGCCAAUUAACUAUGAACAACUAUUAGCUCUAAUCGAAGAAGGACAAAACGAGCCGCUGAAUACACAGGACAUAACCAAAAUAAAUGCCGCAUUGCGAGCUGGCCUGCGCCGUGGCUUUUUUCAACGCGUUCGUGGAAAGUUUUCUAUGCCUCCCUGCCUUCAAUAAGUACGAGAAGAUGAAGCUCAAACUAAAUCAAAAUUAAAGCGGAAUAAGCUGAAUAUAUUUGUUGAGAUAUGAAGUCAAAAAAUAGAACUGUUUAACUAAAAUGUAGCUACCCC